rnacentral:misc_RNA from 1 species
UUCCAGUGCGGAAGAUUUUGUUUAAAUGAGAGAUUUAUUGCUCACUGUCAAACAAAGAGCAUAAAAUUAGCUAGAUUUCGUUGCAAAAACUGACAAAAGGAAAUGGUGUCGAGGUCAUACUCAAAUCUUUUGGAGCUCGCCUCUGGGGAGUCUCCAUCGUUUGGCCGCAUGAGCCGGCGAAUCCCGCGGAUUAUGACGGUGGCUGGCAUAAUUUC